rnacentral:lncRNA from 1 species
UUUUUUUCCUGAACUGCUUGGUUUAUUUUUGUGAAAAUAAACCCCUUGUCCUUUUUUCUGCAAAUAUAGUAGUGUCUUUUAGUGAAGACACUAACCUGGUUAUCCAGGUUUUUGGAUAACCUUAAUCCUUACAAGAGUAACUCUUAAUUGUCCAAGUGUGUGUGAAGCUCAUACUGCUUUUAACAAUCACCCUCAUUUGCAAGGUAUAGGCAUGAAUAACAUGAAGACAUGAAGACCCAACCUGAUUCAGUUUUUUGUAUCAGUUGGUACAGUCUAGUGUGCCUAUCAAAUACUUUCAUUUUAUUGUUUUUUGGGUUAACGUUUCUGUUUUAAACCCAGCCUCCGAAAAGCCUGUGAAUUCUGCCAGCAGACCCACCUACAGCCUUAUGGCAGCAGUGAGUGCUUGUGUGGGGAUGUCUCUCCUAAUAGUGAUGAGUAAAAGGAUGCAUGUAUGUUUGAGUUUGUUAUUCUUGUUAUUUUUGUGUUGUGUUCAGCAGCACUGCAAAGAUAUGAUUGUAUUGUGAAAUAUUAUUGUCUCUAAAACAAAAACUGUCUGAAA